rnacentral:rRNA from 1 species
AGUAAGGGCGACUGAACCGGGAAAAGCCCAGCGCAUAACCUCGUGUCCUACCCGGCACGAGGGGUGUUGCGUUUCGGAGGGUCCAGCACGCCGUGCCAUACCGCCUAAGUCAAGCUUGAAAGCGGCCACUACCCAUGGAGGGUGACAGGCCCGUGUGGCGGCGCCCGUGAGGGUAAAGAUGGCACGGUCGGAAAGGGCAUCUCUCCGUAGAGUCGGGUUGCUUAAUAAUGCAGCCCAAAGCAGGUGGUAAACUCCAUCUAAGGCUAAAUAUGACCACGAGACCGAUAGCGAACAAGUACCGUGAGGGAAAGUUGAAAAGAACUUUGAAGAGAGAGUUCAAGAGUACGUGAAACCGUUAAGAGCCAAACGGAUGGAACCUCGAAGGUCGAACUGAGGGGAUUCAGCUCGUCGGCCGUCGGCUGGGUGCGGGUGUUCGUUAACUCGGAGCGACCCAAGAAAGCUUGGGCGUGCUCGCACCCACGCUGGCGUCGGCGGGCGUAUUUCGCCUCGUAGUAGGGCGCCGCGACCCGUUGCUGGGGACGUCGAAGGCCCCGGCGGAUUGGUACCCUACCUUCGACCACCGGCCCUCGCGGCCGGCGGCGGCGAGGUAGGCGAAACCGCCGGUGAUCCUGGCUGCCCUGCGACGGUCGUAGAGACGAGCCUCACCCCUUGGCGGGGUGGCUCUCGCGGCGUGCAAAAAGAUCGGUGAUCCAUCCGACCCGUCUUGAAGCACGGACCAAGGAGUCUAACAUGUGUGCGAGUCAGUGGGCGCACUAAACCCAAAGGCGUAAUGAAAGUGACAAGUCCGGCGUCCGUGUCGUUCCAUGAUGCGGGCGCCGGAACCAGGGCCGAUCCCCCGCCGGCUGCCUCUGCCUCUCCCCCGCGCCCCGGUAAGCCUAGGUGAGCCACUUUCCCUGGCCCCUGCCGGGGCGUCGUCCUGGGGUUGGCGGAGCGCGAAGGCGUGAGAUAUCCUGUCCGCAGGGGGGCGCAGGCCCGGGACUUGCCAAGACGCCGCGAGGCUCUGCGAGGUUGGAGUGUUCCUCCGCCGAGCGGGUCAUCACGCGUGCAGUCGGCAAGUACCAUGAGCAGACAUGUUGGGACCCGAAAGAUGGUGAACUAUGCCUGGCCAGGAUGAAGCCAGAGGAAACUCUGGUGGAGGUCCGUAGCGAUUCUGACGUGCAAAUCGAUCGUCUGAGCUGGGUAUAGGGGCGAAAGACUAAUCGAACCAUCUAGUAGCUGGUUCCCUCUGAAGUUUCCCUCAGGAUAGCUGGAACUCGCAGGAUGAAUUUCAUCCGGUAAAGCGAAUGAUUAGAGGUCUUGGGGACGAAACGUCCUCAACCUAUUCUCAAACUUUAAAUGGGUGAGAUGCCGAGCUUGCUUGAACACUGAAGCUUCGGCGACUAAUCUGAGUAUCUAGUGGGCCAUUUUUGGUAAGCAGAACUGGCGCUGUGGGAUGAACCAAACGUCGAGUUAAGGGGCCUAAAUGAAUGCUCAUUCAGAUCCCAUCGAAAGGCGUUGGUUGCUAUAGACAGCAGGACGGUGGCCAUGGAAGUUGGAAUCCGCUAAGGAGUGUGUAACAACUCACCUGCCGAAGCAACUAGCCCUUAAAAUGGUAUGGCGCUCAAGCAUUCUCCCGAUACUCGACCGCCGGGGCACUAGCGGCCACGCCCGAGAGGCGAGGUCUCGAAGCCCCGGUGAGUAAGAGGGUCGCAGUGGUGAGCGCUGAAGGGAUCCGGCGUGAGCCGGCCUGGAGCCGCCACUGGUGCAGAUCUUGGUGGUAGUAGCAAAUACUCGAGAGAGACUCCCUUGAAGACCGAAGUGGAGAAGGGUUCCAUGUGAACAUCAGUUGGACAUGGGUUAGUCGCUCCUAAGCCCAAGGCUAAGGCCUGAUCCCACGCUAGCGGCAACUGCCAACCGAAGAAGAAGAAGAAGGAGGAGGAGGAGGAGGAUUUGUCAGCGCCACCGAGCCGGUGGUGUAUGCCUGCCUGCCUGCCUGCCUGCCUGCCUGCCUGCCUGCCUGCCUGCCUGCCUGCCUGCCUGCCCCUCGCGCUCUCUUGCGGUGUUGCCCGGGAUUAGUGGCGAAAGGGAAUACGGUACUUAUUCCGUAACCAGGACUCGGAUACCAAGCAGGCGCAAGCGCCCGAAACGGAAUGCUGCCCUGUGGAGGACCCUGGUAACGGGAACCAGCUCGCGUCCGCCGGCGGUGGUCCGGGAAAGAGUUUUCUUUUCUGUUUAAGGCGCCGUGACCCUGGAAGCCAUUCGCAGAGAGAAAGGGUAUUGGUAACACGGUUUGCCGUAGAGCGCCGCGGUUCUUGCGGCGUCCCGCGUGCCACCGCCGGUCCUUGAAACCGCGAGGGAGGU